UGGGGAAUUUUCCGCAAUGGGGGUAACCCUGACGGAGCAACGCCGCGUGAGGGAGGAAGGCCUGUGGGCUGUAAACCUCUUUUAUCAGGGAAGAAGCACUGACGGUACCUGAUGAAUCAGCAUCGGCUAACUCCGUGCCGGCAGCCGCGGUAAGACGGAGGAUGCAAGCGUUAUCCGGAAUUAUUGGGCGUAAAGCGUCCGCAGGCGGCUAAGCAAGUCUGCUGUUAAUGCCCACAGCUCAACUGUGGAUUGGCAGUGGAAACUGCUUAGCUAGAGUACGGUAGGGGUAGAGGGAAUUCCCAGUGUAGCGGUGAAAUGCGUAGAUAUUGGGAAGAACACCAGUGGCGAAGGCGCUCUACUGGGCCGUAACUGACGCUGAGGGACGAAAGCUAGGGGAGCGAAAGGGAUUAGAUACCCCCGUAGUCC
rnacentral:rRNA from 1 species